rnacentral:lncRNA from 1 species
GUGGGGAAGGAUUUGGAUCUGAGGUCUCCCUUUCCCCUUCCUCCUCUUGUGGAUCUAGAUCUAAGCCCUCCUUCCCUCCUCCUCCUCCUCCACCUCCUCUAGCUCCAGCUCCUCCUCCUCCUACUUCUCCUCUAGGUUUGGAUCUAUGGGAUGUGGUGGUGGCCAGGGUUUCGGCGAGCUCUUGGGUUCAACACUCACACGUGGUGUUUCAGCUACCUAUUGUUGUAGUAGUAUGUCCGGUGUUGUUGCACUAUCAUGCACAUUGUGUUGCAGCGUCAAGCGUAUGGGGGCAGGUUGUCAGGACGAGUUGGCAGCGGGCGGAUGUGCUAGGGGCUAGCGAGUCGAGGGGCAGAUCUCGUGCUCAUGGGGGUGGAGACGGGCUCCUUGCACGGGGAGUGGACGAAGGGUGGUCCUCCUGCGAGGCAAGUUGGUUGGGGGCAGACAGGUUUCCUUUUGUUUCUUUUUUUCUUUUCUCCGUGUGGCGCGGGUGGGGGGCUUGGUGUCUAGACGCGCUGCUGGCACCGGACAUCCGGAUGCUAGCAAUACUCUAAAAGAUUAGAGAGAAUUUAUAGCCCACGUUCCUUUAGAAAGGAAUUUAUUACCCUAAAAAACAGAGAGAAACUGUGUACACAGAAGGAAGUAGUAACACACCUAAGCCUACA